UGAGGAACAUGACCUUCGGCGGGGGAGUAGCCGGCCCAACGGCCGGGUAAUACCGCGUACGACCACAUGGGGACAUCCCUGAGUGGUGAAAGCAGCAAUGCGCCGAUGGAGUGCCUCGCGGCCUAUCAGCUAGUUGGUGAGGUAACGGCUCACCAAGGCGACGAUGGGUAGCUGGUCUGAGAGGAUGGCCAGCCACAUUGGGACUGAGACACGGCCCAGAUCCCGUAACGGGG
rnacentral:rRNA from 1 species